GAGGGGAGCCAAGAUGGCCGAAUAGGAACAGCUCCGGUCUACAGCUCCCAGCGUGAGCGACCCAGAAGACGGGUGAUUUCUGCAUUUCCAUCUGAGGUACCGGGUUCAUCUCACUAGGGAGUGUCAGACAGUGGGCGCAGGUUGGAGUUGUUGCUACCUGUGUCUACCCAGCCAAGGACUUUAUGCCUCAGGCCUUCAUAUUCAGGACAUGUUUCUCAUGAAAAUUUUGGAAAUGUGAAAUUACAGAAAAGCCCAAAGGAAAACAAUGAAAAUCUCUUGCAACUACAGUACUUAGAAAAAUGCCUAUUAUCAUUUUGUUUUAUAUCCCUGCUGUCUUUAUAUGUACAACUUGCAUUUUGCAAGAGUUUAGAAAGUUGUAACCUUAUUUUUUAAAUCAGUGCAUAACUAAUAUUUUUUAUGCUAUUAAAAUAUUAUUUUAAGAUGUAAUAUCUAAUCACAUGUCUGCAUCAUAAUCUACUUAAUCUCCCCUUGUUCACAAUUAAGUAGUUUCCAAUUUUUCACUAUCAAAGUAAUGCUACAACAAGAAGGAUAUCCUGGUAUAUAAAUAAUUUUACACAACACAGUUAUUUCCUUGAC
rnacentral:lncRNA from 1 species